rnacentral:misc_RNA from 1 species
ACGUAUGACAGGAGUGGGGAUAAAUAAAUAGAAUCUGUAUUGUAGCUAGUAUAAAACGCGCCGAUCAACUUGCUGAAAGGUUUAGUCAAGGUUGAGAGCUCUCUGUUCCCAUUUGUUCCCAAGCAACAUGAUCGGAUUAAAGACAAAGAAGCUUCUAAUAUUUGGGGUGAGCAUCGCUAUAAUUCUAGCUAUGGUCCUAACGAUAAUAAUCGUAUUAUUCGUUAAUAAUUCAGAAACGAUCUCUAAUGGAAGCUCGUACUUUGGAAGAUACAAAAAGGCUGCAGUGUCCACACACGGGCAAGAAUGCGCCGAGAUAGGUGUCGGCAUGUUAAAUAAAGGUGGAUCGGCAGUCGAUGCGGCUAUUGCUGCGCUCUUAUGCGAGGGAGUUGCGUCUUUGCAUAGUAUGGGAUUGGGCGGUGGAUUUUUAAUGACCAUUUGGGACGCAUCUAACAAAACUGCCGUUUAUUUGGAUGCGAGGGAGGUAGCUCCAUCUGACGCGAAUGAGACCAUGUUUCAUGGGGAUCCUCAAUUAGCGAUGUUUGGCGGCUUAGCCGUUGCAGUACCGGGCGAGCUUCUUGGUUAUUGGGAAGCCCAUAAAAAAUAUGGGAAAUUGAAAUGGUUCGAUCUAUUCGAGCCAAUUAUUUCUCUGUGCACCACCGGAUCAAUCGUGACUAAAUAUUUGGAAUCAUAUCUGAGCAGUAAAGAAUCGUCGAUAAGGGCGGAAAAAUCGUUGGCCGAAAUCCUUAUAAAUCCCACUACCAAUUCGUUGUGGAAGGUAGGCGAUAGAAUAAAAAGACCACGUUUGGCAGAAACGUUGAAAUUGAUCGCGUUCAAUGGGCCCGAUGUAUUUUACAAUGGCAGUAUGACCGAUAAUUUAGUGAAAGAGAUCGGUGCUUUCAAAGGUAUCAUAAAGAAGGAGGAUUUCGUAAAUUAUAAAGUAAAAUGGAGGAAACCGAUUAAAUCAACGGUAGGGGAUUUAACUAUCUAUACCGCACCGCCACCUGGUUCAGGAGCGCUCGUAACUUUUAUUAUGAAUGUUCUCUACGGUAUAAUUCCAAACCAGGACAACAGAAUUACAUGGCAAAACAUAAUCGAGACGUUUAAAUGGACUUAUGCUAAAAGAACGAAAUUAGCUGAUCCUGAUUUCGUCAAUAUCAGCGAAGUACUUAAUAAUUUGACAUCUGUCGAUUAUGCAAAUAUGAUUCGAAAGAAAAUUAAGAUAAACGAGACGAGUAACGAUCCCACUUAUUAUGGUGCUAUUACUGUUCCACCAGACGAUUCAGGAACGUCUCACAUCUCUGUCUUGGCUCCCGAUGGAUCUGCCGUAUCCGUCACAUCAACGAUAAAUCAAGUUUUUGGAGCAAUGAUACGUUCAGAAUCGACUGGCAUAAUAUUUAACGAUGAAAUGGAUGAUUUUAGUUCCCCAAAUAUAACUAAUGCAUUCGGUGUACCACCUUCGCCAGCAAAUUUUAUUAAGCCUGGAAAAAGACCUUUGAGUUCUAUGAGCCCGACAAUUGUUGUAAGCAUAUACUUUCCAAAUGAAGAGAUAAUAUUAUAUAGGUAGAUAAAGAUGAACAUGUCCGUUUAGUAAUUGGUGCUGCAGGUGGAACUAAAAUCAUCACCUCAAUUGCAACAGCAAUGAUAUUAAAUCUUUGGUCAGGAUAUGAUAUAAGACAAGCUGUUGAUGUACCUAGAAUUCAUCAUCAACUAUUACCAAUGAUUGUUCAACAUGAACAAGGAUUUUCUACAGACAUAUUAAAUUAUUUAUCGAAUAUUGGACAUAAUAUUACAGCUUAUACGGGAAUUGGUAGUGCAAUUACGGCUAUAUCUAAACAGAAUGGAGAAAUAUUUGCUACUUCGGAUUUUCGAAGAGAAGGAAGAACUGCUGGUUUUUAAGUUUUUUAUCCAUGAACAAAAUAGUAAAUAAAAUGACUCAGCGCAGAUAGAUAAGAAAUAAUGUUGCGAUAUACACAAGCAAUACGACAUUGUUGUGAUCAAAAAUUGAUUUACGUUUCU